rnacentral:rRNA from 1 species
UACGUAGGGUGCAAGCGUUAAUCGGAAUUACUGGGCGUAAAGCGUGCGCAGGCGGUUUUGCAAGUCUGUCGUGAAAUCCCCGGGCUCAACCUGGGAAUUGCGAUGGAGACUGCAAGGCUAGAAUCUGGCAGAGGGGGGUAGAAUUCCACGUGUAGCAGUGAAAUGCGUAGAGAUGUGGAGGAACACCGAUGGCGAAGGCAGCCCCCUGGGUCAAGAUUGACGCUCAUGCGCGAAAGCGUGGGGAGCAAACAGG